UUGAAGUAGCUGAAAUAAGUAGGGUAGGCGAUAAAAAUGCAUAGAUAUUACUUAGAACACCAAUUGCGAAGGCAGGUUAAUAAGCAACAACUGACGCUGAUGGAAGAAAGCGUGGGGAGCGAACAGGAUUAGAUACCCUGGUAGUCCACGCCGUAAACGAUGCUAACUCGUUUUUGGGUUUUCGGAUUCAGAGACUAAGCGAAAGUGAUAAGUUAGCCACCUGGGGAGUAGCCGUUCGCAAGAAUGAAACUCAAAGGAAUUGACGGGGGCCCGCACAAGCGGUGGAUUAUGUGGUUUAAUUCGAUGAUACGCGAGGAACCUUACCAAGGCUUAAAUGGGAAAUGACCGGUUUAGAAAUAGACCUUUCGCAAGACAUUUUUCAAGGUGCUGCAUGGUUGUCGUCAGCUCGUGCCGUGAGGUGUUAGGUUAAGUCCUGCAACGAGCGCAACCCCUGUCACUAGUUGCCAUCAUUCAGUUGGGGACUCUAGUGAGACUGCCUACGCAAGUAGAGAGGAAGGUGGGGAUGACGUCAAAUCAUCACGGCCCUUACGCCUUGGGCCACACACGUAAUACAAUGGCCGGUACAGAGGGCAGCUACACAGCGAUGUGAUGCAAAUCUCGAAAGCCGGUCUCAGUUCGGAUUGGAGUCUGCAACUCGACUCUAUGAAGC
rnacentral:rRNA from 1 species